UUCAUGGCUGACAGGAUGCUGGAGUAAUCUCUGAGAUCGUCACGACCGUCACACUGUGUACAUUUACCCUGGAAGGCAUCAUGUUACCAUGCUAACAAGACAACAUGCUAGCUAACUAUGAGCAUGACAUGCUAAAUCUGUAAACACACCAUGGUGAGGUAGGAGUAGUCUGUGGCGAGGCCCAGGCCCAGCUUGGCCUUCAUCUCUGGAGCCAUCCCCCUCAA